GACGUAGGGCGCGAGCGUUGUCCGGAUUUAUUGGGCGUAAAGAGCUCGUAGGCGGUUUGUCGCGUCUGCCGUGAAAGUCCGGGGCUCAACUCCGGAUCUGCGGUGGGUACGGGCAGACUAGAGUGAUGUAGGGGAGACUGGAAUUCCUGGUGUGGCGGUGAAAUGCGCAGAUAUCAGGAGGAACACCGAUGGCGAAGGCAGGUCUCUGGGCAUUAACUGACGCUGAGGAGCGAAAGCAUGGGGAGCGAACAGG
rnacentral:rRNA from 1 species